rnacentral:rRNA from 1 species
GUUGAACGCUGGCGGUGCGUUUAAUACAUGCAAGUCGAACGAGAUCUUUGAAAAGUUUACUUUUUGAAGUGAAAGUGGCGGACGAGCGAGUAACACGUAAGUAGCUGCCCUGUACUCGGGGAUAACUAGUCGAAAGAUUAGCUAAUACCGGAUAGUCUCGAAAGAGUAAAGAUUUAUCGGUACAGGAGGCGCUUGCGGCCUAUCAGUUUGUUGGUGAGGUAAUGGCUUACCAAGACUAUGACGGGUACCUGGUGUGAGAGCAUGACCAGGCGCGAUGGGACUGAGACACGGCCCAUACUCCUACGGGAGGCAGCAGUAGAGAAUCUUCCGCAAUGGGGGCAACCCUGACGGAGCGACACCGCGUGGUGGAUGACGCUUUUCGGAGUGUAAACACCUUUUAUGAGGGAAGAAAAUCUGACGGUACCUCAUGAAUAAGGACCGGCUAAUUACGUGCCAGCAGCCGCGGUAAU